rnacentral:rRNA from 1 species
UUGAACGCUGGCGGCAUGCUUUACACAUGCAAGUCGAACGGCAGCACGGGGGCAACCCUGGUGGCGAGUGGCGAACGGGUGAGUAAUAUAUCGGAACAUGUCCGGAAGUGGGGGAUAACGUAGCGAAAGUUACGCUAAUACCGCAUAUGCCCUGAGGGGGAAAGGGGGGGAUCGCAAGACCUCUCGCUUUCGGAGUGGCCGAUAUCGGAUUAGCUAGUUGGUGGGGUAAAGGCUCACCAAGGCGACGAUCCGUAGCUGGUCUGAGAGGAAGACCAGCCACACUGGGACUGAGACACGGCCCAGACGCCUACGGGAGGCAGCAGUGGGGAAUUUUGGACGAUGGGCGAAAGCCUGAUCCAGCCAUGCCGCGUGAGUGAAGAAGG